GACAGAGGGGGCAAGCGUUGCCCGGAAUCACUGGGCGUAAAGGGCGCGUAGGCGGGAUGGCAAGUCAGUCGUGAAAUCUCUCGGCUCAACCGAGAAACGUCGGCUGAUACUGCCGUUCUUGAGGGAUGCAGAGGAGACUGGAAUUCCCGGUGUAGCGGUGAAAUGCGCAGAUAUCAGGAGGAACACCAACAGCGAAGGCAGCACUCUGGGCCGGUACUGACGCUGAGGAGCGAAAGCAUGGGGAGCGAACAGG
rnacentral:rRNA from 1 species